GUCUCACAGUUUGAUCCUGGCUCAGAACGAACGCUGGCGGCGCGCCUAAUACAUGCAAGUCGAGCGAGAAGACGUAGCAAUACGUUGUAAAGCGGCGAACGGGUGAGGAAUACAUGGGUAACCUACCCUCGAGUGGGGAAUAACUAGCCGAAAGGUUAGCUAAUACCGCGUACGCUCCUUGGACUUCGGUUCGGGGAGGAAAGCGAUACCGUGGGUAUCGCGCUCUUGGAUGGGCUCAUGUCCUAUCAGCUUGUUGGUGAGGUAACGGCUCACCAAGGCUUCGACGGGUAGCUGGUCUGAGAGGACGAUCAGCCACACUGGCACUGCGACACGGGCCAGACUCC
rnacentral:rRNA from 1 species